GUUAUCACGGGAGACACACGGCGGGUGCUAACGUCCGUCGUGAAGAGGGAAACAACCCAGACCGCCAGCUAAGGUCCCAAAGUCAUGGUUAAGUGGGAAACGAUGUGGGAAGGCCCAGACAGCCAGGAUGUUGGCUUAGAAGCAGCCAUCAUUUAAAGAAAGCGUAAUAGCUCACUGGUCGAGUCGGCCUGCGCGGAAGAUGUAACGGGGCUAAACCAUGCACCGAAGCUGCGGCAGCGAACGUAUCACUUAAAGCGAUUCAGCGGGUUACGAUUGACGGAGCGAAGCGACGUCAAAGCGUAUACAAAGUCGAGUCGGUUUAAGGAUACGUUCGUUGGGUAGGGGAGCGUUCUGUAAGCCUGUGAAGGUGGCCUGUGAGGGUUGCUGGAGGUAUCAGAAGUGCGAAUGCUGACAUAAGUAACGAUAAAGCGGGUGAAAAGCCCGCUCGCCGGAAGACCAAGGGUUCCUGUCCAACGUUAAUCGGGGCAGGGUGAGUCGACCCCUAAGGCGAGGCCGAAAGGCGUAGUCGAUGGGAAACGGGUUAAUAUUCCCGUACUUGGUGUUACUGCGAA
rnacentral:rRNA from 1 species